CCACUAGGAAUCCACCAAUGGAUUUUAGCACACCCCAUUGCUAUUGCCUUUCCCCUCUGCCUCUUGCCCACGAGAUGCCAUCUAGUGGCACAGGUAAGAUGCCGCCAACCAAAGGACUGGCAAGAGGGGAGAAGGAGAAGGGAAGAGAAGUGGAGGGGAGAGGGCCUCUCAAAGCUUCUGGUCUGAAGUAGUGCACGUGACUCCCUCCCACACUCAGUUGGCCAAAGCAAGGUCACUAGAGCAGCCAGAGCUGGGCAGGGUUGGGCUAUAGAAUCCGGUCCCAGGGAGGAGAAGCUGAUCAGAACAGUAGGACCUGUCACAGUCCCUCUCCUAAAAGACUGUCCUAGAUUGUCUCAGGGAAUGACCUUUUUUCUCCCCUUCUGUUGAAGUUUAAUUUACAAAUCAGAGGUGCACAGCCCAGGAGAUUUGCACAAGGGCACAUCAGGAGGCAAGGCUGCCCGCAGAACAGAGGACCCGCCGCCCUCUCGCUUAGGACCACCGUUCCUCCAAAACCCAGCAGGGGUUUUCUCUAAGUGCCGUGGUAUGUCUGCUCAGAAGGAGAUGUCCGCCUGCUUUCCAUGGGUGCGGUCUGACCUAGGAGGACACCAUUUUAAGCAGGAGUGUCUACCCUGACCUGAGAGUCUCCUUAAUUCCCCAGGUGUGUCUACCCUGACCUGGAAUAUCUUAAUAACUCAGAUAUGUCUUCAUUACCGUGGAUUUCUCACUAGUUCCUCAGGUGUCUCUACCCUGACUUGGAAUAUCUCUCUGAUUCUCCAAGUGUGCCUUAACUGACCUGGGAUGGCUCCCCUGUUCCACAAGUAUGUUGAUCCAAACUUGGAUGUAUACCUAAUUUCCCAGGCAUCCAUCCAUGAAUAAAAGUGCCUCUGAGAUACAGCCCCAAAUGCCAAAGGAUCCAGGAAUAGUGUCACCCAACUAUGCAUCCAUUAGUAGGCAACAGCCCUCCAUAGAGACUGCACACCCAGCCAGAGCCCUGAGGGGGCCUGCUUAAACCAUCUUGCUACUAUCAAAGAAACCUCAAGAGUGCUGAUUUGGACAGACAUCCACAGACAAGGGAGGCCUUAUGGGAGUCCAAUAUGCCCCAAGUGGAGGUCCUUGGAGUCUGGAUACACUGGAAAUGAUAAAAAGAACUUUGCUAAUGCCACCCCUCCUCAAAAGUGACACUAUGUGGGGGCUCAACUAGAAGGCAGCAAACUCUCCUGCUGGAAGGGGAACUAGGAGUACCUGGCUUCCUCAGCCAUGUGGGAUGCUGCAGGAGAAAUCCAUUCCCUCUGGCAGCACCCAGAUUACUGAGGCAGGUUAUCCAUGACUCCAGGAAAGAGAUCAGGAAACAGGUGGAUGAGAAGAUCAAAGGGUAUUGAAGGGACACUGUCCUGAUGAUAGGAUAACAACCGGAAGUUCACUCAUGAGCUUCUGGAAGAACCUCCACCUGAGGAUCCCCAGCCAUCUAAGAGUAUUGAACCCAUACAUCCCCAGUGCUGUGGCUGGCUCCCUGGGGCAACCCUUCUGGGAAACAGGAGAGGUGAGUUCCACAGACCAGAGAAGACAUACAAGCUCGAGAAUUCUUCCCCAAGAAGGGGCAGAAGCAUGGCGCAAAUGUAUCCACAAAGGGACAGAGAACAUCCAGAUCUAACAGUAUAUCCCACCUGAAGGCAAUUUGCAAAGACUAAGGUGGUGUUCACCACUCCACAUAUCAGAGCAGCAACAUAAAACUACAAGGAACAUGAAGAAUCAAGGAACAUGUCAUCACCAAAAGGUAACAAUAAUCUAACAAUAAUCCUCCAAUAACCAAACAUAAAGGCUAAAGUUUGUGAUCUAGCUGAUAAGGAGACCAAAGAAAACAUACAAAGGAUUUUUUUUUCAGAAACAAUAAAGAGAAAAAAAGAAACAAAUUCUGGGAUUAAAGAAUUCCAUGAAUGGGAUGAAAAACGCAUCCACAGCAGAGUGGAUAAAAUAGAAGAUAGAAUAAGUGAGCUACAGGAUAGGAACUUUGAAAGAGCAUUACAAAAGCAUAGACUAUCUAUGGGACUCCAUCAAAAAUACAUAUAUCAGAAAAAUUACAGUUCCAGAAGGAGAAGCAUGAAGGGCAUCUGGGUGGCUGUUAGUUAAGUGGCUGUCUUUGGCUCUG